CGCGGCGGGCGGCGCAGUGUGGGCUCGGCAGGUGCGCGCGGCGUGACCGUUGGGAGCCGUUAAGAGCCGUUAGGAACCGUUGGGAGCCGCGGGUGCCGAUGAGGCCGCAGGACGCGUUGCUGGAGGAGCUGAAGCAGCGGGCGUGCGAGGGCGUGGAGCUGAACGCGGCGCGGCUGGGCGCCCUGAGCCGCAGCAUCUGGAGCCGGCCCGAGCUGGCCUACGAGGAGCACCACGCUCACGACGCCCUCACCCGCUUCUUCGGCAGCGGGGAGCUGCCGGGCGCCGCCUGGGCCGUGCGGCCCCGCUACAAGCUGGGCACGGCCUUCCGCGCCGACUGGGGCACGGCCGGGCCGCAGGGACCCCCCGCCCCGCUCCGCAUCGCCUUCCUCUGCGAGUACGACGCGCUGCCCGGCAUCGGGCACGCCUGCGGCCACAACCUCAUCGCCGAGGUGGGGGCAGCCGCCGCCCUGGGGCUUAAAGCCGCCCUGGAGAGCCUGCCGCAGCCCGCUCCCAGCGCCGUGCAGGUCGCCGUGCUGGGGACGCCUGCGGAGGAGCAAGGAGGUGGCAAAAUUGACCUGAUAAACGCCGGGGCGUUUGACGACCUGGAUGUGGUGUUUAUGGCGCACCCGUCGCAAGAAAACGCGGCCUAUCUGCCUGAUGUGGCUGAGCACGACGUGACUGUGAAAUACUAUGGAAAAGCUUCUCAUGCUGCUGCUUAUCCUUGGGAAGGAGUUAAUGCAUUAGAUGCUGCUGUUCUUGCAUACAACAAUCUGUCUGUUUUAAGACAGCAAAUGAAACCAACCUGGAGAGUUCAUGGCGUAAUAAAAAAUGGUGGUGUGAAACCUAACAUUAUUCCUUCUUACACCGAGCUGGAGUUCUACUUGCGUGCCCCAUCAAUGAGAGAUCUUUCUGUUCUGACAGAGAAGGUUGAGAACUGCUUCAAAGCUGCAGCACUGGCCACAGGAUGCAGAGUGGAAAUAAAAGGUGGAGAGAAUGAUUACUACAAUGUGCUUCCAAAUAAGAGCCUGGAGAAGGCUUACAAGGAGAACGGAAAGAAGCUUGGAAUAGAAUUUAUAUCAGAAGACUCUAUUUUGAAUGGUUUGUCAGGAUAUCAGGUUCUUCUGUUGAAAGGGAAGGAAGAUAGCUCAGUUGCUUCUCCAUGUCUGUGCAGCAGAAAAGUCGUUAACAGAUGAGCAUACUCGCUGCCACCUCUACAUGGGUAUUAGUAUCGGUCUGCUUACAGGUAUCGCUCUAGGCAGCUAAGCAUUGUGAAGAAUUCCUUUAGUCUCUCAAAUCACACUGCCUCAUGGCAUGCUCCACUCGUUUUGCACGCAACCAGAAGGAUGUGACAGAAUGAGGUAGCUUUGAGAAGGUGCCACAAGCUGUUCCUCCUGCUGGUAGAUAGCUCUGCUUCAGGGUAUUGAUGACCUCCCACAGCAGAUGGCCCAGCCUUAGUUGAGGCACCCCUGCUUGUGAUAACUUCGACAUUUUUAGUGUUCAGAGGUUUUGCUGGUGUCCUGUGGAUAGCCGAGGCAUAGUUGAUAAGGAGCCAGUAUGUUUUGAAAAUACGCUUUUGAAGUCGGGGGCUGAAUAUAAAGGCUUCCUGGAAUCAGAUGCAUUUUCUCCUGUUCUCAUGCUUGUGGUAAUAACUGGCUUCCAUGAUGUGCUCAGUGACUUGAAUAGGUUUCAGCAUCUGCAUCAGGAUAUUUUUUUUAGAGGCUGGAGUCCCCAAUACCCUUCUAUUGAAGAUAGUGCAUGAAUCUAUAUAUCCUAUUGAUAACUGUGCUAUUAUUUAUGCUUCCAGACGGAAAUCUGAUCUGUAGAUCUCUAGCAAGUAUACAGUUCUGGGUGGUUGUAUGGAAACUACGGGGACAUGCUGAUAAGUUGUUACUAAGGGCCUAACAUUUUUCUGAUAGGAAGAAUUGACUCUCACAAUUUUAUUAAAAACUGACUUUUGACUUGGCAAACUCUCAUCUUUUAAACCAUCAAUGCCUGGUUUAAAUAACUUACAUUCAGUAAAAAUAACUUGGAACUGGUAAUAGGUUGGAGAAUGUAGUCUCUGUGGACUCACUUUUAAUAACCAUAAGUUUCCACAUAAAAUCUAUAAUCUGCAAUUGAUUAAUUACUAAGUCUUAAGGCAUGAUACCUUCUCUAUCAUCUUACAAAGAUGUCAUGAUAUGGAUACUGUCUGAUGUGUUACAAAUUUUAAAUCUUUGGAAGAGUCCUUUCAUAUGCUAUCUCUAAAGAAAAAAAAACAAACAUUCUGAUUGACCUGAAAAAAGUUAAUUGGGGUCAUCCCUUUUUACCCCCAUAUGAAACAAGGUCAUGUUAUGCCUUCUGUGGUACCUCAGUUUCACAAUAACUGGUGUGUCGCUUUCUCCAGCUUCUAAACAUCUUUUUAACAGUAGAGGAGAACUUGACUUUAAAUACUGAGUGGAUUGCCUGUUUGGCUUUAAACUAAAGAAAAACACUUGUGGAUUCUUGGAUGACUUACUAUAAAGGAUCAUCACCUCUGGAUGGCAUCUUUAAAGGGACAGUGCAGUACUUAGGGAUAGCUACUGUCCUACUGAUAGUGUUAGGUAUGAAAGAAUCAUUAAAAUCUGCAGCAUUGCUCUCAAGAUUUCUUGACAUCUACAAAGUACUUCUCUUGUUUGGAGUUUAGUUCUGAUCUUGUUUUUUCAAGAACACUUGUGCUGUUAAUGUUUCCAUAACUGAACAAUCAAAAAAUACCAGAAAACAGUUGUCCUCAGUCUUUGUUUAAAAAUAGCUUGUUCUUCUGAGUCCCUACCUCAUGUGGAACAUUGGCAUACUAGUGAUAAGGGUAACUGUUGGGCCUGGUUUCUAGGGGCUGUACCAGGGUGUGAAAUAGCUGGCCUGAGCCAAACUCCAAGGCUUGGAGCUUUCAUCUUUUCUGAAUUACACCUUGCUAUCAGGAGAUGCUUGAUGAAAAUUUAACAGUAAAUGGAUUAGGGACAUGUUGAUAGCAUUUUCUUGCAGUCCAGGAACAGAUUAUUGUUCAGAAGCACACUGGAGAGAAGCAUCUGAAGAUGGCUAGUUAGGAAAAGCUUGGCUCUGUGAUGGGGGAUUUUUGUAUGGAUAAUGAACAAUUAGAAAUGCUUACAUUUUAGUAUUUGGGACAAAGGAUAUUGUUUUAAUUAUGGGAUGGAGAUAAUGUCUAUUGUACAUUUUCCUACAGCAGUUUAAAACUCUUCAGCACAUAUUCACUGAGAAUUUUCAUGCUGCUUCUAGGUUCCACGGACUUUGGAAAUGUUACCUUUGUAGUCCCUGGGAUUCAUCCUUAUUUUUAUAUUGGCUCUGAUGCAUUGAAUCAUACUGAGCAGUACACAGAAGCUGCAGGGUCACAGAAUGCUCAGUUCUAUGCUUUGCGCACAGCAAAAG